AAUUUGGUUGGUUUGUAUAUUUUGCUUUAUGUGUUUUACCGCCAAGUUUGACAAUCUUUGUCUGGACAUUGACCAAAGCAGACUAUAUAUUUAUAUAGAGAAGUAAUUUAAUUUUGGACCAGACCUUGCUCUUUUUCUGAAUCAGUCAAUGUCAAUAUAAUUUCACCACGCAUUCGGUGUACGUAUUAUGAGCCUGUUCCCAUAGAAUGGGCUUAAAUAUACAUUGCAAAUUUUAAAGUCACUGUGUCCGGAUACGAAUAAACGAACCAUACAGAUAUCUUUGUUGUCAGUUAUUUUAAACAAAGACUGUAACAU